CCUACGGGUGGCAGCAGUAGGGAAUAUUGCUCAAUGGGGGAAACCCUGAUGCAGCGACGCCGCGUGGAGGAUGAAGGUUUUCGGAUUGUAAACUCCUGUUGUUAGAGAAGAUAAUGACGGUAUCUAACGAAUAAGCACCGGCUAACUCCGUGCCAACAGCCGCGGGAAUACGGAGGGUGCAAGCGUUACUCGGAAUCACUGGGGGGAAAGAGGGCGGAGGCGGGAUAGCAAGGCAGAGGUGAAAUCCUAUGGCUUAACCAUAGAAUUGCAUUUGAUACUGUUAUUCUAGAGUAUGGGAGAGGUAGGUGGAAUUCUUGGUGUAGGGGUAAAAUGCGUAGAGAUCAAGAGGAAUACUCAUUGCGAAGGCGACCUGCUAGAACAUAACUGACGCUGAUGCGCGAAGGCGUGGGGAGCAAACAGGAUUAGAUACCCCUGUAGUC
rnacentral:rRNA from 1 species